rnacentral:rRNA from 1 species
UACGUAGGGGGCGAGCGUUGUCCGGAAUUAUUGGGCGUAAAGAGCGUGUAGGCGGUUCGGUAAGUCUGCCGUGAAAACCCAGGGCUCAACCCUGGGCGUGCGGGGGAUACUGCCGGGCUAGAGGGUGGUAGAGGCGAGUGGAAUUCCCGGUGUAGCGGUGAAAUGCGCAGAUAUCGGGAGGAACACCAGUAGCGAAGGCGGCUCGCUGGGCCAUACCUGACGCUGAGACGCGAAAGCGUGGGGAGCAAACAGG